rnacentral:rRNA from 1 species
UACGGAGGGUGCGAGCGUUGUCCGGAAUCACUGGGCGUAAAGGGCGCGCAGGCGGCUUUGUUUGUCAGGCGUGAAAGCCCCGGGCUUAACCUGGGAACUGCGUUUGAUACGGCAGGGCUAGAGUUCGGGAGAGGAGAGUGGAAUUCCCAGUGUAGAGGUGAAAUUCGUAGAUAUUGGGAAGAACACCGGUGGCGAAGGCGGCUCUCUGGACCGAUACUGACGCUGAGGCGCGAAAGCGUGGGGAGCAAACAGG